CAAGCAGGCGGCCCGGCAAGUCAGAUGUGAAAUCCCUCGGCUCAACCGAGGAACUGCAUCUGAAACUGCUGGGCUUGAGUUCGGGAGAGGUGAGCGGAAUUCCCGGUGUAGCGGUGAAAUGCGUUGAUAUCGGGAGGAACGUCGGUGGCGAAGGCGCUCACUGGACCGAUACUGACGCUCAGAGGCGAAAGCUAGGGGAGCGAACG
rnacentral:rRNA from 1 species